ensembl:lncRNA
AUAAACUUUGGAAAGUGAUUCAGAGAAGUCUACUUUUCUAUCCUGUUAUUCUAGUUUUAAAUUUCCCUAUAGCAAACAUAGAUUUUUUUUUAAUUAAAAUUGUUAUUUCUGUUAUAUUUGCAGGUUUGAAUAGAGAGGGGAUUUUGUUUUGUAAUGUCAGGGGGGUUAUAAGAAUCCCUACACCUCCCUGCACCGCCAUGGAAAGACAAGAAGUAGGGGCUGUUCCGAGGGUAAGCAGUGGUGCUUCGAGGCUAAGAACCAGGGAAGAGCCUUAUAUACACAACUUGUAUACACAACUAAGGAAGUGUCACUAGUUGGCUUAAUAAUUCAUUUUAUUUAUUGAAAUGAUUUCUGUAAUACCUGUUUCCAAAACAAAAUUAAGGUCGUUUAAUUUGAUAUUUAUGAUUACUGCUUCGUUUGCCAGAGAUCACGUUUUGAUGUUACAAAGCACAGUAAAUACAAGCUCUCAUAAACCAUGAACAGCUGCAACUAUGGAGCUGCUUCAGUUUCUUGGCUCUCUGUUUUUCUUUCGGUCUUCUCAGAUGUGGCUGAAGAAGCUCUGAGGCUAAAGUAGGAAUACAGUCCCUUGCUUUCUCUCCUUUCCUCAAACCUAUCUAUCUCCCAGUUCAGGACUUCCCCAAUUUUUUUUUCCCUGUGAAGGACCAGAUUUUAUAAGCCUUAAGUCAAAGCUGAAAUGAUUUAACUUUUUUAAAUUAAAACACUAAAACGCCAAGAAAGUAAUGAACUCCUUUCAUCAUGGAAAUUACACUUUUCAAAGUAUAUUUUUGUCCCACGCAUCAGAGGGUGAAAAAGUUGCUAAAACCAAGUUGUGGUAGUCAGGGAGGAUUCUUAAUAAUAUUCUGUGUUCAAAUAUCUCGGUUAUGGAUAUCCAUUUUCAGAGCAAAUCAGUUCUUGAAGUGUCUCUUCACCAAAAGAACUACUCUGCCUCCUUAGAGCAUAUAAAUAUUGAAGGCACUCAGGUUUCAGGAAGAGUGAACGAAGGUGAUGUCUGAGACAGCAGAGGUAUAGAUUAAAAGAAGUAAAGCUUCCUUACAGUUGGUUAAGGCUUUGCACAAAGUUUUAUUUUGUUGCUAGGGAAAAGAAACCUUGCAUAAUCCCCCCAAAAGUGUUAAGGGCUUCAAUACAGGGCAGUGUACCUCAGCAUGGGUGAAGGAGAGCAAUAUGGGAUUUUUAGAAGAGGAUCAGCAGAAUUUAGACAAUCCCAGAAAAGAGGAGUCUGAACUGAAGAAGACCGAAGUUGGCCAUGGAUUUUCACCAAUUCUUACAGGAAUUGUAAAAUUAGAAGCCUGUUAUAUAUGUAUCUUUAGGGUCAUAAAUAAUUAUGCUUCUGUUAACUAUACAGUAAACCUUGUCAUUCUGUAUGAAUUCAUUCUCAUGUCCUUUGUUCUCUUCAAAAUGUUCCAAGUUAAGUGAAUCCUAAAUUUAUUUAUUUAUUUAUUGGUCAUUUUUUUUUUUAGGGCCUCACCCUCAGCAUAUGGAGGUUCCCAGGCUAAAAGUUGAAUCAGAGCUGCAACUGCCAGCCUACGCCACAGCCACAGCCAAUGCCAGAUUCAAGCCCCAUCUGUGACCCACAUCACAGCUCACGGCAAUGCCAGAUCCUUAACUCACUGAGCAAGGCCAGGGAGCAAACCCUAAUCCUCCUACGUACUAGUCAGGUUUGUUACUGCUGAGCCACGACGGGAACUCCUGAAUCCUAAAUCUAUUUAUUAGAUCAAAGUUAGAUCUGUACAAGUGCUACUCUUUCAAAAACCCGUUGUCAUGACUUACUUCUGCCUAGGAGGGCAAGAUAAUUAACCCUUUCACAUAUAUUAGUUCAGUUGAUCCAUCCAACCAGAUGUUACUGUCUUUCUUUUAUGAAAAGAGAUACUUAAGCUUAGACAUAAUAAUAAAUGAUUUAUUAUUCAGGGUUUCUCAGACUGAAAUGUCACUAGAACAUGAAUCAUCUUACUCCUAAUCCAGUGGAUACAAACAGUACCUGCAAAAGCGUUUUAUAACACUCUGAAAACAUUUGAUAAAUAAAAAUUAAUAAAAUUAGAGAUUGCUGCUCAACAUCAAAAUUCGUGUGACUGUCUUUCUCAGAAACUCUUGAGUAUAAAAGGCUCUUAUGCUCGAAGGGCUUAUGGGCUUGGAGAAAAAUAAUACUUACUUGGAUCUCGACUUAUAUUCAAUUUACUAAUUUAAGAAACCAACUAACAUUGUUUAGGCAGCCAGCAUUCCUCUAAUUAUUCAUAGAUGUGCAAAUAAUAAAUAAAAACUUAAGAU